UACAGAGGGUGCAAGCGUUAAUCGGAAUCACUGGGCUUAAAGCGCGUGUAGGCGGCCCGGCACGUCGAUGGCUGAAAUCCCCCGGCUCAACCGGGGAAGGGGCCUCGAUACGACCGGGCUGGAGGCCGGUAGGGGGCGCCGGAACUCACGGUGGAGCGGUGAAAUGCGUUGAGAGCGUGAGGAACGCCCGUGGCGAAAGCGGGCGCCUGGACCGGGCCUGACGCUGAGACGCGAAAGCCAGGGGAGCGAACGGG
rnacentral:rRNA from 1 species